rnacentral:rRNA from 1 species
UCUGAAUCUGCGAACGGCUCCGCAAACCAGUUGUAAACUAUAGCAAGCAAGCCCGGGGUCGGCCUUCACGGGCUGGUUCCGGGUGAUAUGGAUAACCCUGGUAAUUCUGAGGCUAAUACAUGACCGUAAAACCUAGCUGACCGGCUUCGGCUGGGAUGCUGGGGGACGUGUGAUUUGGGCUUGGUAACACCGGGAAGGGGCGCACGUCUAGACCACGCUAUAAAGGUCGGUUUCCUCCUCGGAGGGGGCCGUCCCAGUGGCUCCUGCUGUGUGCUUCUGACCUAUCAACUAGACGGCAGCGUAAGGGACAUGCUAUGGU